rnacentral:rRNA from 1 species
UACAGAGGUCCCAAGCGUUGUUCGGAUUCACUGGGCGUAAAGGGUGCGUAGGCGGCCGGGUAAGUCCGCUGUGAAAACUCGAGGCUCAACUUCGAGCUGUCGGUGGAAACUAUUUGGCUAGAGUCCGGAAGAGGAGAGUGGAAUUCCUGGUGCAGCGGUGAAAUGCGCAGAUAUCAGGAAGAACACCCGUGGCGAAGGCGGCUCUCUGGUACGGAACUGACGCUGAGACGCGAAAGCGUGGGGAGCGAACAGG